rnacentral:tRNA from 1 species
GGUGAUGUGGCUCAGUGGCAGAGCGCUUGCCUAGCAUGUGUGAGGCUCUGGGUUUGAUUCUCAGCACCACAU